rnacentral:rRNA from 1 species
AACGAACGCUGGUGGCGUGCUUAACACAUGCAAGUCGAACGAGAAAGUUUCCUUCGGGAAAUUAGUAAAGUGGCGCAAGGGUGAGUAACACGUUAAUAAUCUACCCUCGAGAUCGGGAUAACAUGGUGAAAACUAUGCUAAUACCGGAUAAGACCACAUUUCAUAAGAAAUGCGGAAAAAGGAGUCUCAACCUUCACUCGAGGAUGAGUUCGCGGAACAUUAGCUUGUUGGUGAGAUAAAAGACUCACCAAGGCUACGAUGUUUAGCCGGCCUGAGAGGGCGAACGGUCACACUGGAACUGAGACACGGUCCAGACUCCUACGGGAGGCAGCAGUGGGGGAAUAUUGCGCAAUGGGCGAAAGCCUGACGCAGCAACGCCCGUGUGAGCGAUG